rnacentral:rRNA from 1 species
UUCCGGUUGAUCCCGCCGGACCCGACUGCUAUCAGAGUGAGAUUAAGCCAUGCGAGUCAACGUAGCAAUACGUGGCAUACGGCUCAGUAACACGUAGUCAACAUACCUAAGAGACGUGGAUAACCUCGGGAAACUGAGGAUAAACCGCGAUAGGUCAUAUUUUCUGGAAUGAUUUAUGGCUCAAAUCUAUAAGGCUCUUGGAUUGGACUGCGGCCGAUCAGGCUGUUGGUGAGGUAAUGGCCCACCAAACCUGUAACCGGUACGGGCUCUGAGAGGAGGAGCCCGGAGAUGGGCACUGAGAAAAGGGCCCAGGCCCUAUGGGGCGCAGCAGGCGCGAAACCUCUGCAAUAGGCGAAAGCUUGACAGGGUUACUCUGAGUGGUUUCCGCAAAGGAAAUCUUUUGGCAUCUCUAAAAAUGGUGCAGAAUAAGGGGUGGGCAAGUCUGGUGUCAGCCGCCGCGGUAAUACCAGCACCCCGAGUGGUCGGGACGAUUAUUGGGCCUAAAGCAUCCGUAGCCGGUUCUGCAAGUCUUCCGUUAAAUCCACCUGCUUAACAGAUGGGCUGCGGGAGAUACUACAGAGCUAGGAGGCGGGAGAGGCAAGCGGUACUCAGUGGGUAGGGGUAAAAUCCGUUGAUC